UCACCCGUGCCUCUCUGCCUCAUAGUCUACUCAGUAUCACUGCAUCUGAGUGUUUCUGCAUCUUCAUGUCCAGCAAUAAAAGCUGAGCAAAUGAAACUUAAUACAACAGUUUUUUUUAUGCAGCAGGCAUGAAUUCCCAGAGAUGCUCCUGCUGCAGGCCACACACAAGCCUCAACCAGAUCUGGUUGUGUGUGUGCCACUGAACUCCCUGCAGGGGAAUACUGUGGAAGACAUCUGCCGCUAUGAAAUUGAUCAGAGUCGGCUAUGUGUAAACAUACAAGGAAUUUGACCUCUUCUACUCAGGAGUGCACAUGUGGCCACGAACGAGGACGACGAAAGCUGAACUAAUAAAGUUAAAGAACUUUCAUGCACACAGAGAUUAGAAAGAGAAGAGAAGAGAAGAGAAGAGAAGAGAAGAGAAGAGAAGAGAGG